CCCUUAGAUGUUCUGGGCCGCACGCGCGCUACACUGAUGCAUUCAACGAGUCUAAAACCUGGUCUGAUAGGGCUGGGUAAUCUUUGAACGCUGUUCGUGAUUGGGAUAGACCUUUGCAAUUAUGGGUCUUCAACGAGGAAUUCCUAGUAAACGCAAGUCAUCAGCUUGCAUUGAUUACGUCCCUGCCCUUUGUACACACCGCCCGUCGCACCUACCGAUUGAAUGGUCCGGUGAAAUCUCGGGACGGCGGCUUGGUCGCUUGCGUCCGACUGCUGAAACUUGAUUAAACCAUAUCAUUUAGAGGAAGGUGAAGUCGUAACA
rnacentral:rRNA from 1 species